CUCCAUCGUCGUCUGCGGAAUGUCGGAGGCCACGUCUGAUUCUCAGCCGAGAUCGGUGAACGUCUCGGGAAGGCUAACGAGGAGUCUUUCCACGACGCCGACGAGGAUCAGGCAGACCUUCGGGAGGUUACUUAGGUCGGAUUCAAUGAGACCAACGACUUCUUCAGUCUCCACGACGGAUACGGGAAGGUUAACGAGGAGUCUAUCCACGACGCCUUCGAGGAUCCAUAAGACGUUCGGGAGGUUAGUGAGGUCGGACUCGACGAGGACGACGACUUCUUCAGCCUCCCGGGAGAGAGAUUUGGAACGUCAGCCGGCGGCGACGGAGACGACGGGGAGGUUAACGAGGAGUCUAU
rnacentral:lncRNA from 1 species